rnacentral:rRNA from 1 species
AGUGAACGCUGGCGGUAGGCCUAACACAUGCAAGUCGAACGGCAGCACAGGAGAGCUUGCUCUCUGGGUGGCGAGUGGCGGACGGGUGAGGAAUACAUCGGAAUCUACUUUUUCGUGGGGGAUAACGUAGGGAAACUUACGCUAAUACCGCAUACGACCUACGGGUGAAAGCAGGGGAUCUUCGGACCUUGCGCGAUUGAAUGAGCCGAUGUCGGAUUAGCUAGUUGGCGGGGUAAAGGCCCACCAAGGCGACGAUCCGUAGCUGGUCUGAGAGGAUGAUCAGCCACACUGGAACUGAGACACGGUCCAGACUCCUACGGGAGGCAGCAGUGGGGAAUAUUGGACAAUGGGCGCAAGCCUGAUCCAGCCAUACCGCGUGGGUGAAGAAGGCCUUCGGGUUGUAAAGCCCUUUUGUUGGGAAAGAAAUCCAGCUGGCUAAUGCCCGGUUGGGAUGACGGUACCCAAAGAAUAAGCACCGGCUAACUACGUGCCAGCCGCCGCAGUAAAAC